rnacentral:rRNA from 1 species
GUGCCAGCCGCCGCGGUAAUACCGGCAGCUCAAGUGAUGUCCCAUAUUAUUGGGCCUAAAGCGUCCGUAGCUGGCCGACCAAGUCUCCCGGGAAAUCCACGUGCUUAACACGUGGGCGUCCGACGGAAACUGCACAGCUUGGGACCGGAAGGUUCGAAGGGUACGUUCGGGGUAGGAGUGAAAUCCCAUAAUCCCGCACGGACCACCGAUGGCGAAAGCACUUCGAGAAAACGGAUCCGACAGUGAGGGACGAAAGCCAGGGUCUCCAACCGGAUUAGAUACCCCUGUAGUCC